CCGCAGUGAUAGCAAGUACCUUUGGUGGAGAUCUUCUUCACCUUCUUCUUGGAGAUGCUAACCUUAGGGUUCAACUUUUUCUUAAAAUUUUUCUUGUCUUUCUUCCUGUUGAUCUUAUCUACAAGAAGAACUGGAGCCUUUUCACCUUUGAAAUAGUUCUUUGCUAUUUUGUGCAUAUUCAGUAAUUCAGGCAAGCUAAUGUUCAGUUUGUUCAUGUGG
rnacentral:lncRNA from 1 species